ACUGCUCAGUAACACGUAGGAACGUACCCCAAAGUGAGGCAUAAGCACCAGAAAUGGUGUCUAAUACCGCAUGUGCUCUAAGGAGUAAAGCUUCGGCGCUUUGGGAACGGCCUACGCAUGAUUAGCUUGUUGGUGAGGUAAUAGCUCACCAAGGCGACGAUCAUUAGCUGGUCUGAGAGGAUGACCAGCCAGACUGGGACUGAGAACGGCCCAGACUCCUACGGGAGGCAGCAGUAGGGAAUUUUCCACAAUGGGCGAAAGCCUGAUGGAGCAACGCCGCGUGCAGGAUGAAGGCCUUCGGGUUGUAAACUGCUUUUCUCUGUGAAGAUUAUGACGGUAGCAGAAGAAUAAGGAUCGGCUAACUCCGUGCCAGCAGCCGCGGUCAUACGGAGGAUCCGAGCGUUAUCCGGAAUUACUGGGCGUAAAGAGUUGCGUAGGUGGCAGAGUAAGCAGAUAGUGAAAUCGUGUGGCUCAACCAUACAUCCAUUAUCUGAACUGCUCAGCUAGAAGGCGAGAGAGGUAGAUGGAAUUCCCAGUGUAGGGAGUGAAUCCGUAGAUAUUGGGAGGAACACCGAUGGCGUAGGCAGUCUACUGGCUCGUCCUUGACACUAAGGCACGAAAGCGUGGGGAGCAAACGGGAUUAGAUACCCCGGUAGUCCACGCUGUAAACUAUGGAUGCUAGCUGUUAGGAGUAUCGACCCUCCUAGUAGCGAAGCUAACGCGUUAAGCAUCCCGCCUGUGGAGUACGGUCGCAAGACUAAAACAUAAAGGAAUUGGCGGGGGAGCAC
rnacentral:rRNA from 1 species